GUGGGGAAUAUUGGACAAUGGGCGAAAGCCUGAUCCAGCCAUGCCGCGUGUGUGAAGAAGGUCUUCGGAUUGUAAAGCACUUUAAGUUGGGAGGAAGGGUAGUAACCUAAUACGUUGCUACUUUGACGUUACUGACAGAAUAAGCACCGGCUAACUUCGUGCCAGCAGCCGCGGUAAUACGAAGGGUGCAAGCGUUAAUCGGAAUUACUGGGCGUAAAGCGCGCGUAGGUGGUUCAGUAAGUUGGAAGUGAAAUCCCCGGGCUCAACCUGGGAACUGCUUUCAAAACUGCUGAGCUAGAGUACGGUAGAGGGUGGUGGAAUUUCCUGUGUAGCGGUGAAAUGCGUAGAUAUAGGAAGGAACACCAGUGGCGAAGGCGACCACCUGGACUGAUACUGACACUGAGGUGCGAAAGCGUGGGGAGCAAACAGGAUUAGAAACCCUUGUAGUCC
rnacentral:rRNA from 1 species